AUUCCAGCUCCAAUAGCGUAUAUUAAAGUUGUUGCAGUUAAAAAGCUCGUAGUUGGAUUCCUGGUUAGAGCGGCCGGUCUGGUCCGAAUGGGCUAGUACUUUGAGCUGUCUUUGACCUUCCUUUGGGAGAAUCUGUGUUGUUAUUAAUAUAGCAGUGCAGGGGACCCCAAUCGUUUACUGUGAAAAAAUUAGAGUGUUUAAAGCAGGCAUUUGCUGUGAAUACAUUAGCAUGGAAUAAUAAGAUAGGACUUUGGUGCUAUUUUGUUGGUUUGCACACCAAGGUAAUGAUUAACAGGGACAGUUGGGGGUAUUCGUAUUUAAUUGUCAGAGGUGAAAUUCAUGGAUUUAUGAAAGACGAACUACUGCGAAAGCAUUUACCAAGGAUGUUUUCAUCG
rnacentral:rRNA from 1 species